GGGAGGCUGCGACGGUGCUGGGGUGGUGGGGGAACGACCCGGAGGCGGGAGGCGCAGUGGCUGAGGCGCGUGUGCGCCGGUGACCAGAAUUAGAUAGACCAUGACUGUGCCUUCAGUGGCGUCACUCGCUGGGCCGCUUUUCCUGAGAUUUCCCUAAGCCAUCCCCUGGUGGAACUGCUCCCAGAUUUUAUCCACAAGUGCUUGUGGAAAAGAUGGCUGAUAUUAACCUCAAAGAAGUAACCUUAAUAGUAGGUGUGGUUACUGCCUGCUAUUGGAACAGCCUCUUUUGUGGUUUUGUUUUUGAUGAUGUUUCAGCAAUACUGGAUAAUAAAGACCUGCAUCCAUCUACACCUUUAAAAACUUUAUUUCAGAAUGACUUCUGGGGAACCCCUAUGUCUGAGGAGAGAAGCCACAAGUCUUACCGUCCCUUAACAGUAUUGACAUUUCGCUUAAAUUAUCUGUUUAGUGAGCUGAAACCAAUGUCAUAUCAUCUCCUAAAUAUGAUUUUUCAUGCUGUGGUUAGUGUGAUAUUUCUUAAAGUCUGCAAACUUUUUCUGGACAACAGGAGUAGUGUCAUUGCUUCUUUACUUUUUGCAGUGCAUCCAAUACACACAGAAGCAGUAACCGGUGUUGUAGGAAGAGCAGAACUUUUGUCAUCUAUCUUUUUUCUAGCUGCAUUUUUGUCAUAUACCAAAUCAAAAGGACCAGAUAAUUCCAUAGUAUGGACUCCAAUUGCUUUGACAGUGGUUUUAGUUGCUGUUGCAACAUUGUGUAAAGAACAAGGAAUAACAGUUGUGGGAAUUUGCUGUGUGUAUGAAGUAUUUAUUGCCCAGGGGUAUACUUUGCCAUUAUUAUGUACUACUGCCAGACAGUUUUUCCGUGGGAAGAGUAAUAUUCCAUUUUCUAUGCUGCAGACACUAAUAAAACUCAUUGUUUUGAUGUUCAGUACACUAUUACUUGUUGUGAUUAGAGUCCAGGUCAUUCAGUCCCAACUUCCAGUAUUCACCAGAUUUGAUAACCCAGCUGCUGUAAGCCCAACUCCUACAAGGCAGCUAACUUUUAACUACCUCCUUCCCUUGAAUGCUUGGCUUCUAUUAAAUCCUUCGGAACUGUGCUGUGAUUGGACCAUGGGAACAAUACCACUUAUAGAAUCAUUUCUAGAUAUUCGAAAUCUUGCCACAUUUAUUUUCUUUUGCUUUUUGGGGGCUUUGGGGGUAUUCAGUCUCAGAUACCCUGGUGAUUCCUCCAAGACUGUUUUAAUGGCACUUUGUCUAAUGGCAUUACCAUUUAUUCCUGCAUCAAACCUUUUCUUCCCAGUGGGAUUUGUUGUUGCUGAGCGAGUAUUAUAUGUUCCUAGCAUGGGGUUCUGUAUUUUGGUAGCCCAUGGAUGGCAGAAAAUAUCAAACAAAAGUGUAUUAAAAAAGUUAUCCUGGGUUUGUCUGUCUAUGGUGAUAUUCACUCAUGCCUUAAAAACACUCCACAGAAAUUGGGAUUGGGAGUCUGAAUAUACAUUGUUUAUGUCAGCCUUGAAGGUAAAUAAAAAUAAUGCCAAAUUAUGGAAUAAUGUGGGUCAUGCUCUGGAAAAUGAAAAGAACUUUGAGAGAGCUUUGAAAUACUUCUUACAGGCUACUCAUGUUCAGCCAGAUGAUAUUGGUGCUCACAUGAAUGUAGGAAGAACUUAUAAAAAUUUAAAUAGAACCAAAGAAGCUGAAGAAUCUUACAUGAUGGCUAAGUCCCUGAUGCCCCAAAUUAUUCCUGGUAAAAAAUAUGCAGCCAGAAUUGCCCCUAACCACCUAAAUGUUUAUAUUAAUCUGGCCAAUCUGAUCAGAGCAAAUGAGUCCCGGCUGGAAGAAGCAGAUCAGCUGUACCGGCAAGCAAUAAGCAUGAGACCCGACUUCAAGCAGGCUUAUAUUAGCAGAGGAGAAUUGCUUUUAAAAAUGAAUAAACCUCUUAAGGCAAAAGAAGCAUAUCUUAAAGCACUAGAGCUGGACAGAAAUAAUGCAGAUCUUUGGUACAACUUGGCGAUUGUUCAUAUUGAACUUAAAGAACCAAAUGAAGCCCUAAAAAAUUUUAAUCGUGCUUUAGAAUUAAAUCCAAAGCAUAAGCUAGCAUUAUUCAAUUCUGCUAUAUUAAUGCAAGAAUCAGGUGAGGUUAAACUUAGACCUGAAGCUAGAAAACGCCUUCUUAGCUACAUAAAUGAAGAGCCACAAGAUGCUAAUGGUUAUUUCAAUUUGGGAAUGCUUGCCAUGGAUGACAAAAAGGACAGUGAAGCAGAGAUGUGGAUGAAGAAAGCCAUAAAAUUGCAAGCCGAUUUUAGAAGUGCUUUGUUUAAUCUGGCUCUCCUGUAUUCUCAGACUGCAAAGGAAUUAAUGGCUUUGCCAAUUUUGGAAGAGUUACUCAGAUACUAUCCUGAUCAUAUCAAGGGUCUCAUUUUAAAGGGAGACAUUCUGAUGAAUCAAAAGAAAGAUAUACUUGGAGCAAAAAAAUGUUUUGAAAAAAUUUUGGAGAUGGAUCCAAACAAUGUGCAAGGAAAACACAAUCUUUGUGUUGUUUAUUUUGAAGAGAAGGACUUACUAAAAGCUGAAAGAUGCCUGGUUGAAACAUUGGCAUUAGCACCACAUGAAGAAUAUAUUCAACGCCAUUUGAAUAUAGUCAGGGAUAAAAUAUCCUCAUCUAGUUUUGCAGAACAGCCAGUAUCCCCAGCUGGUAAGACUUCAGGUGUAGAAGGAGACAAAAUUCCAACUGAAAGUGUAAAAGAAGUAAGAAGUGAACCCAGACCUACACAGAUCAUAAAACCAAGUGAAAAUAAAAGUCAGUCUAAGUCCAACAAACUAUUAGGAAAAAGUACAGACAAAGAGACACCCCAUAAAACAACAAAAGAAAUCAAAGAAAUUGAGAAAAAAAGAGUUGCUGCUUUAAAAAGACUAGAAGAGAUUGAACGUAUUUUAAAUGGUGAAUAGCAUUAUUUAUCAUGUGACAAUGUCUUCAAAGAACUUCAGUCUAUCUUAUGUGAUUGUUUAUACUGGGAGCUUUGAAAAAACAACAAGUGUACAUGUGACAGUCUAUCAUGAGCUGCCUCUACAUAGGAUCAAAAUACGAUUUUCAUUAAAUACCUGUGUUACUCCAGGUGUUCAAAUGAGAAGUACAAUAGUGUAUCAACAGAUUUCUGCCCCACAAAGACAGAAGAGCUGGUGGGUAGUUUUUAUUAGCAGUGAUAUGAGAAAGAUGUGUUAAAUUGCUUCAAGAACAGUGAUACAUUUUUCAACCCUUAGUGACAGAAACUAAAGAAAAUGAGACAAAUUCAAAUAUGGAAUUUUAUACACAUAAGUAGAAGUCAGUGUGGUGAAAUAAUUAGGAGUCUGAGUUAUGGAUCUGCCUGGAUUCAAAUCUUGGUACCACCCUUACUAAUAUAACUUAAAGGAAUGUUUAACCUAUAUGUCCUUGGUUUACAUUUAUAUAGGUUUAAUAUGUAUAUAUCCUAUUGUAUAAACUGGCAGGUAUUUUUGUAACUAUAAAUAAUGCAUGCUUAGCCAUGUACAUUGUAAAUAGUCUUUACCAAACACUUUUGAUAAGGACCAUAAUUAACAUCACGUAGUAAAUUGUGUUAAAGAAAAGCCAUGAUUUAUUUGAUGUAAUUGGCUUAAUUUUUUUUUCACGUAGUAUCAACAUGAAUCUGUUUACAGCUGUAACCAACCAGUAGUACUGAUCUGUCCAUCCAGUGUUGUCUUUAUUUUAUUUGAUUGUGGCUUGAUAAUAUUUUAUUAGAUUGGGAAAACUAAAGAAACAGAAUGGUUUUAGUUUUGCUAAAGACGGGCCUUAUUAAUGAACAGCUUUCCUAACAAGUGAUUAUUGACUUUUAGCGGGUGUUAACAUCUGUUUCAUAACAUGGCAGUAUGUUUAUAUGUCAGAAGUUUUAUGACAUUUCUAAGUUGAUUUGUUGAAAUAAAUUCAGCAAGUGGAAAAAUCUAUAUAUUUAUAUUAAAAAUAUUAAUAUAUUUAAAUUGUUUAGGAUAGUUCUUGGUAUAGUAAAUGAUAGAUGUUAAUCAUUAAUGUAAUCAUAAGGCUUAGGUAUGUAGUAAAUAAUAGAUGUUAAUCAUUAAUGUAAUCACAAGGCUUAGGCUUGCAUUUGAUACAUAUGAUUUGCUUUAUGUGUUAGCAGAGAUAAUGUUAAUGAUGGUCGUAUAGCAAACAGAUUAUUAGAUAUUUAAUGCUGGUUCCUUAGCCAGCUAAGGAACUUGUUCUUUUGCUGUUCACUGCUUUUAGGAAGGUAGCAUAAGAUAAAAUCUUUCCCAAAAGUCUCUGAAGACUUAAUCUCAGGCAAAUUCAUGUUCUUUGGAACCCACUUUAUUCAAAGUAACAUUUCUGUGACUCUGCCAAUGGAUAGCAUAAUUCCCAUCAAGUCGUGUUUUUAUUGUAUAGGAACCUGAUGCCUUCAGUUUUUACCUUAAGCAAAAUACUUCUCACCAAACCAUUCUAGUUUUCCCUUUCUUAAAGACUUUAGUGGUUAAACUCUAUUGUCCUUAUUCCUUCCUUCCCCCAUGGAUUUAGUUUCUGAUAUUAGGAAAGUCAUCUGAUUAAUCCAUGUUAAACUACAAAUGAUAGGUCUUGUUAGUCAUCUUAACAGUUAAAUCAAGUGAACUUCUUUCUUUAUAAAGUUGCAGGCAAUACAGUGGGAGUUAUUUGAGGGAUAUGGAGUUUCUCCACCAUUCUGCCUAUCUAAGCAAGGAAUUGCGAAAGACCACAGAAAAUCUUUGUAACUGCAAGAAGGCCACUUGUGACCAGAAUCCUGUUUUUGAUGGGCACUGGCAGGCCAGGUAACUGCCUUUUGGGAGUGGAAUCAGAGUAAUCAAACUGUCAGCAGAAUUGGACUUAAGCUCAGUAGUGACAUCUGUAAAACUAAUUCCUGAGUAGUGAAUAUACAGAUCUUACUUGAUUUACGAUGGGGUUACAUACCAAUAAACCCAUUGAAGUUGAAAAUAUUGUAAGUUGAAAAUGUUCUUAAUACAUCUAACUUCGUGAACAUCAUAGCUUAGCCUAUGUUAAAUGUUCUCAGAACAAUUACAUUAGCCACAAUUGGGCAAAAUCAUCAGACACAAAGCCUGUUUUAUAAUAAAGUGUUGAAUGUCUCAUGUAA